CAGAUACCGCCCUAGUUCUGACCGUAAACGAUGCCAACUAGCGAUCCGCCAGUCGACUCAUCGCUCUGGUGGGGAGCUUCCCGGAAACGAAAGUCUUCCGGUUCCGGGGGAAGUAUGGUUGCAAAGCUGAAACUUAAAGGAAUUGACGGAAGGGCACCACCAGGAGUGGAGCCUGCGGCUUAAUUUGACUCAACACGGGGAAACUCACCCGGCCCGGACACCGUAAGGAUUGACAGAUUGAUAGCUUUUUCAUGAUUCGGUGGAUGGUGGUGCAUGGCCGUUCUUAGUUCGUGGAGCGAUUUGUCUGGUUUAUUCCGAUAACGAGCGAGACUCUGGCCUACUAAAUAGUUGACGCAUUGCCACUGUGCGCACAACUUCUUAGAGGGAUUUUCGGUGUUUUCAACCGCACGAAAUUGAGCAAUAACAGGUCUGUGAUGCCCUUAGAUGUCCGGGGCUGCACGCGCGCUACACUGGCAAACGCAACGUGCCUGUCCUGCCCCGAAAGGAGCGGGUAAACCCCUGAAAUUUUGCCGUGAUUGGGAUCGGACAUUGCAACUAUUGUCCGUGAACGAGGAAUUCCUUGUAGGGGCGAGUCAUCAACUCGUCCCGAAUACGUCCCUGCCCUUUGUA
rnacentral:rRNA from 1 species